rnacentral:rRNA from 1 species
GGACGAACGCUGGCGGCGUGCUUAACACAUGCAAGUCGAACGGUGACCUGGAGAGCUUGCUCUUUGGUGAUCAGUGGCGAACGGGUGAGUAACACGUGAGCAACCUGCCCCAGACUCUGGAAUAACCCCGGGAAACCGGAGCUAAUACCGGAUAUGACGCCGGGCCGCAUGGCCAUGGUGUGGAAAGUUUUUCGGUCUGGGAUGGGCUCGCGGCCUAUCAGCUUGUUGGUGAGGUAGUGGCUCACCAAGGCGACGACGGGUAGCCGGCCUGAGAGGGCGACCGGCCACACUGGGACUGAGACACGGCCCAGACUCCUACGGGAGGCAGCAGUGGGGAAUAUUGCACAAUGGGCGCAAGCCUGAUGCAGCGACGCCGCGUGAGGGAUGACGGCCUUCGGGUUGUAAACCUCUUUCAGCAGGGAAGAAGCGCAAGUGACGGUACCUGCAGAAGAAGCACC